GUAAAGAAAUAUUGGUCAAUGGCACCAGUCUGAACCAGCCAUGCCGCGUGAAGGAUGAAGGUCCUCUGGAUUGUAAACUUCUUUUAUAGGGGAGAAAUCUCUUUUUCUAAAGAGUCUGACGGUACCCUAGAAAUAAGCACCGGCUAACUCCGUG
rnacentral:rRNA from 1 species